rnacentral:rRNA from 1 species
UACGUAGGGUGCAAGCGUUAAUCGGAAUUACUGGGCGUAAAGCGUGCGCAGGCGGUUAUACAAGACAGGCGUGAAAUCCCCGGGCUUAACCUGGGAAUGGCGUCUGUGACUGUAUGACUAGAGUGUGUCAGAGGGGGGUAGAAUUCCACGUGUAGCAGUGAAAUGCGUAGAUAUGUGGAGGAAUACCAAUGGCGAAGGCAGCCCCCCUGGGAUAACACUGACGCUCA